GGACUACUGGGGUUUCUAAUCCUGUUUGCUCCCCACGCUUUCGCGCCUGAGCGUCAGCCGUCGGCCAGGGCACUGCCUUCGCCAUUGGUGUUCUUCCGGAUCUCUACGCAUUUCACCGCUCCACCCGGAGUUCCAUGCCCCUCUCCGACGCUCAAGCCUCCCCGUCUGACUGGACCUCUCCUAGUUAAGCCAGGAGCUUUCACCAGCCACGCGGGAGGCCGCCUGCGCGCCCUUUACGCCCAGUAACUCCGGACAACGCUCGUCUCCUACGUAUUACCGCGGCGGCUGGCAC
rnacentral:rRNA from 1 species